GUGAGGAAUAUUGCGCAAUGGAGGCAACUCUGACGCAGCCAUGCCGCGUGCAGGAAGAAGGCGCUACGCGUUGUAAACUGCUUUUAACCGGGAAGAAACCCCAGGACGUGUCCUGGGUUGACGGUACCGGAGGAAUAAGCACCGGCUAACUUCGUGCCAGCAGCCGCGGUAAUACGAAGGGUGCAAGCGUUAUCCGGAUUCAUUGGGUUUAACGGGUGCGUAGGCGGAGCGUUAAGUCAGUGGUGAAAUCCUGCAGCUUAACUGUAGACUUGCCAUUGAUACUGGCGCUCUUGAGUGCGCUUGAAGUGGGCGGAAUGUGCCGUGUAGCGGUGAAAUGCUUAGAUAUGGCACAGAACACCAAUUGCGAAGGCAGCUCACUAAGGCGAUACUGACGCUGAGGCACGAAAGCGUGGGGAUCGAACAGGAUUAGAUACCCCUGUAGUCC
rnacentral:rRNA from 1 species